rnacentral:rRNA from 1 species
GACGAACGCUGGCGGCGCGCCUAACACAUGCAAGUCGAACGAGCGAGAGAGAGCUUGCUUUCUUGAGCGAGUGGCGAACGGGUGAGUAACGCGUGAGGAACCUGCCUCAAAGAGGGGGACAACAGUUGGAAAUGACUGCUAAUACCGCAUAAGCCCACGGCUCGGCAUCGAGCAGAGGGAAAAGGAGCAAUCCGCUUUGAGAUGGCCUCGCGUCCGAUUAGCUAGUUGGUGAGGUAACGGCCCACCAAGGCGACGAUCGGUAGCCGGACUGAGAGGUUGAACGGCCACAUUGGGACUGAGACACGGCCCAGACUCCUACGGGAGGCAGCAGUGGGGAAUAUUGCACAAUGGGGGAAACCCUGAUGCAGCGACGCCGCGUGGAGGAAGAAGGUCUUCGGAUUGUAAACUCCUGCUGUUGAGGAAGAUAAUGACGGUACUCAACAAGGAAGUGACGGCUAACUACGUGCCAGCAGCCGCGGUAAAACGUAGGUCACAAGCGUUGUCCGGAAUUACUGGGUGUAAAGGGAGCGCAGGCGGGAAGACAAGUUGGAAGUGAAAUCCAUGGGCUCAACCCAUGAACUGCUUUCAAAACUGUUUUUCUUGAGUAGUGCAGAGGUAGGCGGAAUUCCCGGUGUAGCGGUGGAAUGCGUAGAUAUCGGGAGGAACACCAGUGGCGAAGGCGGCCUACUGGGCACCAACUGACGCUGAGGCUCGAAAGUGUGGGUAGCAAACAGGAUUAGAUACCCUGGUAGUCCACACUGUAAACGAUGAUUACUAGGUGUUGGAGGAUUGACCCCUUCAGUGCCGCAGUUAACACAAUAAGUAAUCCACCUGGGGAGUACGACCGCAAGGUUGAAACUCAAAGGAAUUGACGGGGGCCCGCACAAGCAGUGGAGUAUGUGGUUUAAUUCGACGCAACGCGAAGAACCUUACCAAGUCUUGACAUCCUGCGACGCACAUAGAAAUAUGUGUUUCCUUCGGGACGCAGAGACAGGUGGUGCAUGGUUGUCGUCAGCUCGUGUCGUGAGAUGUUGGGUUAAGUCCCGCAACGAGCGCAACCCUUAUGGUCAGUUACUACGCAAGAGGACUCUGGCCAGACUGCCGUUGACAAAACGGAGGAAGGUGGGGAGGACGUCAAAUCAUCAUGCCCUCUAUGACUUGGGCUACACACGUACUACAAUGGCGUUAAACAAAGAGAAGCAAGACCGCGAGGUGGAGCAAAACUCAGAAACAACGUCCCAGUUCGGACUGCAGGCUGCAACUCGCCUGCACGAAGUCGGAAUUGCUAGUAAUCGCAGAUCAGCAUGCUGCGGUGAAUACGUUCCCGGGCCUUGCAC